rnacentral:rRNA from 1 species
UACGGGGGGGGCAAGCGUUGUUCGGAAUUACUGGGCGUAAAGGGCGCGUAGGCGGCCUUCUAAGUCGGAUGUGAAAUCCCUCGGCUCAACCGAGGAACUGCAUCCGAUACUGGCGGGCUUGAAUCCGGGAGAGGGAUGUGGAAUUCCAGGUGUAGCGGUGAAAUGCGUAGAUAUCUGGAGGAACACCGGUGGCGAAGGCGGCAUCCUGGACCGGUAUUGACGCUGAGGCGCGAAAGCUAGGGGAGCAAACGGG